AUGUCCGCUAACUGAACGAAUGUGUCAAAAGUCACUUUUGCGUCACGGGAGAGGAUAUGGAUGCGACUGACAGAGCUGUUUGGGAACCAAAUGAGCGAAUAAGCCAGCACACUGAAAAGAGCCAGAAUGCCCAUCCCUAAUGAUUCACACCCGUACUACGAAAGAUCCAGAGAUGUUGGAGACUACUACAACACCAUAAUGGCUUCCAUUACAGAACCCUCCCACACCUUGUGGCUGCACAUCGUCAGACUUCACCAAUUUUGGGGGCUCGUCCGGGA